GAUGAAGAACGUAGCGAAAUGCGAUAAGUAAUGUGAAUUGCAGAAUUCAGUGAACCAUCGAAUCUUUGAACGCACAUUGCGCCCGGCAGUAAUCUGCCGGGCAUGCCUGUCCGAGCGUCAUUUCUCCCCUCGAGCGCAGCUUUCCCCCCCGGGGGAGGGCCGCGCCCGGUGUUGGGGCGCUACGGAGGAGCCCAGCGCUCCCCCGUAGGCCCCGAAAUGUAGUGGCGGUCCCGCCGCGGCGCCCCCUGCGUAGUAGUUUUACAACUCGCAUCGGGUCCCGGCGGAGGCCAGCCGUCAAACCCCCCCACAUCAAUAGUUUGACCUCGGAUCAGGUAGGGUUACCCGCUGAACUUAAGCAUAUCAAUAAGCGGAGGA
rnacentral:misc_RNA from 1 species